rnacentral:rRNA from 1 species
AAUGACGUGCUUGCACUGAUUUUAACAAUGAAGCGAGUGGCGAACUGGUGAGUAACACGUGGGAAAUCUGCCCAGAAGCAGGGGAUAACACUUGGAAACAGGUGCUAAUACCGUAUAACAACAAAAUCCGCAUGGAUUUUGUUUGAAAGGUGGCUUCGGCUAUCACUUCUGGAUGAUCCCGCGGCGUAUUAGUUAGUUGGUGAGGUAAAGGCCCACCAAGACGAUGAUACGUAGCCGACCUGAGAGGGUAAUCGGCCACAUUGGGACUGAGACACGGCCCAAACUCCUACGGGAGGCAGCAGUAGGGAAUCUUCCACAAUGGACGAAAGUCUGAUGGAGCAAUGCCGCGUGAGUGAAGAAGGGUUUCGGCUCGUAAAACUCUGUUGUUAAAGAAGAACACCUUUGAGAGUAACUGUUCAAGGGUUGACGGUAUUUAACCAGAAAGCCACGGCUAACUACGUGCCAGCAGCCGCGGUAAUACGUAGGUGGCAAGCGUUGUCCGGAUUUAUUGGGCGUAAAGCGAGCGCAGGCGGUUUUUUAAGUCUGAUGUGAAAGCCUUCGGCUUAACCGGAGAAGUGCAUCGGAAACUGG